UACCUGUGUAUGUUGAUGUAUGUGUGUAUUAUGAAAUCCGCGAUUGAAACAAACGACAAUGGCGUUAUAUUAUCUACGUUUUUUUUCUGUUUCGACCAUAGACGGAUUAUGAUAAUAACAAUAAUAGUACAGUAGAUUUUCAUACAACUAUACCCACUUUGAAAAAAAAAAAAUCGCCGACAGCUCUAAUAAUAGCAAAAUAAGCCUAUCGGUUCGUGUAUACAUCGUCGGUACGAUGGUGUGAGGAUGCAUGUUGAGAACUCCUAGGACACGUUACGUAUACACUGUUCGGUAUCGACUUGUGGGCACCAGGCAUACAAUAUCAUAGGUAGAGAGGUAUCUACCCCGUGUGAUCUAUACGACAAUAUUCAUUGUGCAGAAUUCCGUCGGAGCAGCCGGAUGUCGUGAUGAUGGGCGCGCUACUUUGGCUCCUGUCGACCGCGGUGUUCGUCACGUUGGUUUUUUCUCAAAACGAUUUGCAAGGUAAUCGUUUCACGUUUUAUUAUAUUAUAAUAACUAUUAUUGUUAUUAAGGAUAUUAUUACAUCUAUAAUACAAUAGUAUAACAGUGAUAAUAAUUAUUAUUGUAAUUGUUGUUAUUAGGUAUAGAUUUUAACAUUAUAUAGUUUCACACACACAC